rnacentral:tRNA from 1 species
GCCGCGGUGGCGGAAUUGGCAGACGCGUACGGUUCAGAGCCGUAUGUCCGUAAGGAUGUGUGGGUUCAACUCCCACCCGCGGCA